AAGAAGGUCAGCGUCUCGUACAGAAGGUGUAGAUGUUUGGUUCCUGGGUACCUGUGUGUGGUUUACAGCAAACGAGCCCCCGCAUAAGGCUGGACCAAAUGGGGCCUACUUCUUCUCAACACCCACAGUUAAUUGCGCCUCUGGAUGUGCUACCGAUGCAACAACAAAGACCUCUUUGGAUGGUGUGACCACUCCACCGAACACUUCAGUCUCUGCCUUAAACCCGAAUAGCACUUCAGAUGUCAUCACACAGACCCACUCUAGUACAGGCAAGGAUAAUAACAGUCUGCAACCAAAUGCAAGCACUCAGUCCUCCC
ensembl:lncRNA